AAUAGAUACCCCGGUAGUCCACGCCGUAAACGAUGAGUGCUAAGUGUUAGAGGGUUUCCGCCCUUUAGUGCUGCAGCUAACGCAUUAAGCACUCCGCCUGGGGAGUACGGCCGCAAGGCUGAAACUCAAAGGAAUUGACGGGGGCCCGCACAAGCGGUGGAGCAUGUGGUUUAAUUCGAAGCAACGCGAAGAACCUUACCAGGUCUUGACAUCCUCUGACACUCCUAGAGAUAGGACUUUCCCCUUCGGGGGACAGAGUGACAGGUGGUGCAUGGUUGUCGUCAGCUCGUGUCGUGAGAUGUUGGGUUAAGUCCCGCAACGAGCGCAACCCUUGAUCUUAGUUGCCAGCAUUCAGUUGGGCACUCUAAGGUGACUGCCGGUGACAAACCGGAGGAAGGUGGGGAUGACGUCAAAUCAUCAUGCCCCUUAUGACCUGGGCUACACACGUGCUACAAUGGAUGGUACAAAGGGCAGCAAAGCCGCGAGGCCUAGCCAAUCCCAUAAAACCAUUCGUCAGUUCGGAUUGU
rnacentral:rRNA from 1 species